rnacentral:rRNA from 1 species
UACGAAGGGGGCUAGCGUUGUUCGGAAUUACUGGGCGUAAAGGGUGCGUAGGCGGGUCUUUAAGUCAGGGGUGAAAUCCUGGAGCUCAACUCCAGAACUGCCUUUGAUACUGAAGAUCUUGAGUUCGGGAGAGGUGAGUGGAACUGCGAGUGUAGAGGUGAAAUUCGUAGAUAUUCGCAAGAACACCAGUGGCGAAGGCGGCUCACUGGCCCGAUACUGACGCUGAGGCACGAAAGCGUGGGGAGCAACAGG